GAUGAACGCUGGCGGCGUGCCUAAUACAUGCCAGUCGAGCGAACGGACGAGAGGCUUGCUUCUCUGAUGUUAGCGGCGGACGGGUGAGUAACACGUGGAUAACCUACCUAUAAGACUGGGAUAACUUCGGGAAACCGGAGCUAAUACCGGAUGAUAUUUUGAACCGCAUGGUUCAAAAGUGAAAGACGGUCUUGCUGUCACUUAUAGAUGGAUCCGCGCUGCAUUAGCUAGUUGGUAAGGUAACGGCUUACCAAGGCAACGAUGCAUAGCCGACCUGAGAGGGUGAUCGGCCACACUGGAACUGAGACACGGUCCAGACUCCUACGGGAGGCAGCAGUAGGGAAUCUUCCGCAAUGGGCGAAAGCCUGACGGAGCAACGCCGCGUGAGUGAUGAAGGUCUUCGGAUCGUAAAACUCUGUUAUUAGGGAAGAACAUAUGUGUAAGUAACUGUGCACAUCUUGACGGUACCUAAUCAGAAAGCCACGGCUAACUACGUG
rnacentral:rRNA from 1 species